rnacentral:rRNA from 1 species
UACGUAGGGUGCAAGCGUUAAUCGGAAUUACUGGGCGUAAAGCGUGCGCAGGCGGUUUUGUAAGACUGUCGUGAAAUCCCCGGGCUUAACCUGGGAACUGCCUUUGUGACUGCAAGGCUUGAGUGCGGCAGAGGGGGAUGGAAUUCCGCGUGUAGCAGUGAAAUGCGUAGAUAUGCGGAGGAACACCGAUGGCGAAGGCAAUCCCCUGGGCCUGCACUGACGCUCAUGCACGAAAGCGUGGGGAGCAAACAGG